UACAGAGGGUGCGAGCGUUAAUCGGAAUUACUGGGCGUAAAGCGUGCGUAGACGGCUAUCUAAGUCGGGUGUGAAAGCCCCGGGCUCAACCUGGGAAUUGCAUUCGAUACUGGAUAGCUAGAGUUCGGCAGAGGGAAGCGGAAUUUCCGGUGUAGCGGUGAAAUGCGUAGAUAUCGGAAGGAACAUCAGUGGCGAAAGCGGCUUCCUGGACCAGAACUGACGAUCAGGCUCGAAAGCGUGGGGAGCAAACAGG
rnacentral:rRNA from 1 species